UCAGAUGCAGCGCAGGACGCGCUCAGCCUGAUCAAGGACGUAUGACUCUGCCAGGAUGGCAUGUCGACAGGAUGUCGAGCUUGGUCAGCAAAUAACCCGCUUCGGCGGGUUUUU
rnacentral:sRNA from 1 species